UAUAAUUACAAAUAAUUAAAAUUUGUGAAUAAAUAUCCAUUGAUAAUUAUUGGUUGAUUUUGGUCAUCGAUAAUUAUCUUUCAAUAAAUAUUGCGAUUUGAUUCUUUUUCUUUUUGUUAUUCUUUUUUACAUCAAUUUCUUCAUUUUCAUCUUCAUCUUUAUCUUCCUCUUUUUAUUAUUCCUCCUCUUUUCAUUUAUGUCUUUGUUGGUGUUGUCUCCUACUCUUCUUCUUUAACUUUAUUAUUACUCAUCCUCUUUUUUUUUAUGACUUUAUCAAUGUCGUUGUGAUCUUGCUAUGGUCUUCAUCAUUGUCAUCAUCUUCUCUAGUUUCUUUCUUAUUUUCUUUCUCUUCUUCUUCUUUUUUCGUUUCUUCUCACACGUCUU
rnacentral:lncRNA from 1 species